rnacentral:lncRNA from 1 species
UGAUCAUGUACUUUAUACUGACAUGUAUAUUGUCCCCCUGGUAACAGUGUUAAUGGUGCCUAGACAUGUGCAUCAGGAGAAGAGAGCAUACCCCUGGGAGCUUUGGAAAUCAAUCUUCUACAUAAUACCAUUUUUAUAAUGCUCUAGAAGGAGCGGAUUUACACAUUUUUCCAUUUAUUAAGCUGAUCAUACAUAAAAUAUCCUGGCUUUGGAAUAAUUUGACUCAGCUGGUGUUUUCAUUCUUAAAAAUUUGCAGUGAAUAAUAUCUUCCCCUGAAACUGAGCUUUUCACCUAACAUGCUUUGCAGUUCCCAGUGUUCACUUAAAAUCUUAGGUAAUCUAUUAUAUUCAGCUGAACUGAGUCCUGUUUACCUUCUGCAGGGAUUAUUCCAGCAACUCCUGAAAUGCAAAACCUUCUGUGGCAACAGAGAAAAGGCAGUCUUGUGACUACGGCUCUGACCUAAAGGACAUGCUCUCUCCAAGUAUGAUUUCAUUCAGGUAGUGAGACCAAGAGCUGCAUUAAAAAACAGAAAGAUUGGCCCUAGGCAGACAGUCCUGGGAGACAGACUAAAAUGGUAAUGGAUGUGCAGCUUGUUGAACUGCUAGAUCUGAUCUACUAUGCAGACUGACGCCAAUAGUUCAAAUCUGGUCUGACCAGGUGUGCACCUGGAGAUGCCUAUGCAGCUUGCCUCAUGUCCUGUAGCAUACGUGCUCUGUAAGAAAGAGGAGAGCAUUGAAAAUGAGGUUGGGAUCCAGCACCAAGCACCCAAGCCAAAGCUUUUUCAUACCAACAGCAUAACUUAUUCUUCCUGAACCUGGUGGACUAAGCCACAAGGUUGGCACAGAGACUAGAAUGCUGAGUCCACGGUGGUCCUUCCUAGAAGAGCCCUGGAAAGGAGCAGCCUCCCUCAGAACAGGUGACUGUCUUCAUCUUUAUUGCAUCUUAUUAAAGAAAUGUACUGGGAUCAGGAUCCCAACAAAAAGGUUCCCGUGGCGGAAUAAAACAGCCUAAAGGUAAAACUUGUGAUGUAAAAGUCUGUUUUCUGUGACCUUGGUGAACCUAUGAACUGACCAAGAAAGGUGAUGGCUCCAGAGGGC